UGCUGAGACUUUUUUUCAUUAUCAUUCUCUUUCUCUCUCAUUCAAUCACAUGUAUGUACUAGGUCACAAUGUAAAAGGUGUUUCUUAUUGUGGAUCAUAGUUGAAGAUUUUUGAAGCUACUCAGCUAAAGGACUUUCCCUCUGUGAAGCUGUGAUUCUCUAAAGUGGCCAAAGAAAUUAUGCAGUAAGACCCUUUCCAGUUUUCAUCCUGGGUGUUUCUGAACAGGAUUAUAUCUCAUUGAAAUAUUUGCACCUCUACCUACAGACAAGGAAAAGGCUUGGAGCACCUCCAUUCAUUGUGCCAACAGGACCUGAAUGACCUUGGAUGUUGACUGAUGAGAAAACCUGAAUGAAGAGGGAGAACAGAAAGGGCUGGAGGAGAUGGUGAAAUACAAAAUAAGAGUCUGGGGACUGAAAGAAUCCAAAGG
rnacentral:lncRNA from 1 species